rfam:Skermanella aerolata KACC 11604 strain 5416T-32 contig17, whole genome shotgun sequence.
CGCCGGGCCACGACCCCCCACCGGGUCGCAACUAUUCUGCAAGGAAUAGCCGUC